rnacentral:rRNA from 1 species
AUGCACGCUGGCGGCGUGCCUCAUCCCUGCCAGUCGAGCGCACAGACGAGGAGCUUGCUCCUCUGACGUUAGCGGCGGACGGGUGAGUAACACGUGGAUGACCUACCUAUAAGACUGGGAUAACUUCGGGAAACCGGAGCUAAUACCGGAUAAUAUAUUGAACCGCAUGGUUCAAUAGUGAAAGACGGUUUUGCUGUCACUUAUAGAUGGAUCCGCGCCGCAUUAGCUAGUUGGUAAGGUAACGGCUUACCAAGGCAACGAUGCGUAGCCGACCUGAGAGGGUGAUCGGCCACACUGGAACUGAGACACGGUCCAGACUCCUACGGGAGGCAGCAGUAGGGAAUCUUCCGCAAUGGGCGAAAGCCUGACGGAGCAACGCCGCGUGAGUGAUGAAGGUCUUCGGAUCGUAAAACUCUGUUAUUAGGGAAGAACAAAUGUGUAAGUAACUAUGCACGUCUUGACGGUACCUAAUCAGAAAGCCACGGCUAACUACGUG